CUGNAUCCUGUNUCUUUGAUAUUAGGAGUUGUAGUGUAAAGGUUGUAUCUUUAAUUGUGAAAUGCAUUCCAAAUUCACUUGAUUGUGAUGUUGUCCAGAGAGGGUGUUAGACCCGUUGGAAUGUGUGAAACUGUUAAUGAUACUUCCCAUGAGUCGGAUUGUUUGAGAAUGCAGUCCAAAUUGGGUGGUAAACUUCAUCUAAGGCUAAAUACUUGUGCUAGUCCGAUAGAAAACAAGUACCGUGAGGGAAAGUUGAAAAGAACUUUGAAGAGAGAGUUAAAUAGUACGUGAAAUCGCUUAGAGGUAAACGAGUGGAGCCGAAAAUGUUGUAUAGGAUUCAGUUGUUUGUAUUUUGUGGUGAUAUUGGUGAUAUCUUUAAUGCUGGGAAUCACUGGUAUCAUUUUAAUGAAAAUACAAAUGAUGCACUUUCUAUACAACAAAGCUGCGAUCAAUAGCGUUGUUUUUCUGUCGUAUUAAUGAAGGUGACCAGUUUUUCGAAAUUGGUUUUAUAGCUUCUUACACGGKUAAUCAAUUUMUCGGKGAAUUCKAUUAUYMUYYUAGUGNAUANCKAAKANGAAUCGGUUGAUUGUAAACUUUUAAUAAGAUUACUUUUAAAUCUUUCACGUUAGSGUYGGRAAUGGAMUAAUCCAAAUCUGCRGUGUAUAUGUAGGUYACCUACUCGUCCCGUCUUGAAACGCGGACCAAGGAGUUUUAUAUGAUCGCGAGUCAAAGGGCUUUMCGAAACCCCACGGCGUAAUUAAUGUAAAGGCUUGCAAUGGUAAGCUGAAAUGUGAUCUGGAAUCCCGAAAGCCAGAGCAACAUUGACCUGUCUAAAGAAUUUUGAUUCUGGGCGGAGUUUGAGCGAUGAUGUAGAGACCCGAAAGAUGGUGAACUAUGCUUGUGCAGGUUGAAGUCAGAGGAAACUCUGAUGGAGGACCGAAGCGGUUCUGACGUGCAAAUUGAUCGUCGGACAUGAGUAUAGGGGCGAAAGACUAAUCGAACCAUCUAGUAGCUGGUUCCCUCUGAAGUUUCCCUCAGGAUAGCUGGCGUUUGAGUUGUAGUUUUACCUGGUAAAGCGAAUGAUUAGAAGUACUGGGGACGAAAUGUUUUCAACUUAUUCUCAAACUUUAAAUAGGUUCGAAGUAUUACUCGCAUCAUUGGAGUAAUACAUUGAAUACAAAUGCCUAGUGGGCCAUUUUUGGUAAGCAGAACUGGCGAUGUGGGAUGAACCAAACAUCUGGUUAAGGUGCCUAACACCACGCUCAUGAGAUACCACAAAAGGUGUUGGUUGAUAAAGACAGCAGGACGGUGGACAUGGAAGUCGUCAUCCGAUAAGGAGUGUGUAACAACUCACCUGCCGAAUCAACCAGCCCUGAAAAUGGAUGGCGCUGUAGCGUGGGACCUAUACCGGAUCAGUGUCGCAAUGUCUCAACACGGACCAUAUUAAGCGACACUGUGUAGGAGGGUGCCGUGGUUGCAUGGAAGCUACUGGCGUGAGGCAGAGUGGAGCGACCACGGGUACAGAUCUUGGUAG
rnacentral:rRNA from 1 species